rnacentral:misc_RNA from 1 species
GAGAAUUUGUUUCUCUUGGUCCCUUAUUCUUCCUAGUUCUACAUCAACAGCAUUAGAAAGUAUUAUUUCAGUAAAGCUAAUCACUAAGAGCACUAGAGAAAUUUCUAAAUUCUAUCCAACACAACUAAAAGAGGUUUUUUUUUGGCGGAGGGGUGAACCUGGGGUGUAUAAUGGCAAGAGGGGAAAAAAAUUAUACUUCCAUUUAUAAGAAGCAGUAAUGCAGUUAUUUGUAAGAUGCAACCCAAAAUUUUCAACUUGGCUUUGAAGAAAACCAAAAAUGAUACUAAAUCUAUUAUAUUGCUUCUAAUUUUAUUUAGAC